rnacentral:piRNA from 1 species
UGGGUGGUGAGUGAUGACAUAAGCUGUUGC